GGGGGUGAAUUGGUUUCGACAGAAGCCGUAGCUCUCCGAAUGCGUACCGAGGGGCAGUGCCCUCGUAAAUAUCGCUGCAAACCAUAGCUGCCAACGACAGCUCCUUCGCUCAGGCCCUCGCGGCCUAAGCCUCCCGGUGAUUCCUAGCCUGCGUGGGUCACCGAGAGCCAGUUGAUGCAGGUCCGCGGUUCAUCAGAACGACCGGUGGGACGUUCCGCGAGAUUCGCCGGCGGGAGGAGCCACUCUCCCCUCAAGUAAGGCUGGUGCAGCACUGCUUCCUGGCUCCUUGGAUCGGCCGCACGAGACUAAAACGGAGAUACGUACGUAGAUUUCGAGCGUGAACACUUUUGGACGAGGGUUCGAUCCCCUCCACCUCCAUCA
rnacentral:tmRNA from 1 species